rnacentral:SRP_RNA from 1 species
UGGCGCAGGGUGCAUGGCGCUCUGGAAUCUCGCCGACGAUAUCGAG